CCUACGGGCGGCAGCAGUUGGGGAUAUUGCACAAUGGGGGCAACCCUGAUGCAGCGACGCCGCGUGAGCGAUGAAGUACUUCGGUAUGUAAAACCCUUUCAGCAGGGAAGAGAAUGACGGUACCUGACCAAGAAGCCCCGGCUAACUACGUGCCAGCAGCCGCGGUAAUACGGAUGGGGCAAGCGUUAUCCGGAUUUACUGGGUGUAAAGGGGGCGUAGGCGGGAUGGCAAGCCUGAUGUGAAAGCCCGGGGCUCAACCCCGGGACCGCCUUGUGAACUGCCUCGCCUGGGGGACGGAGGGGGAGGGGGAAAUGCUAGGUGAGGGGGUAAAUGC
rnacentral:rRNA from 1 species